GAUGAACGCUGGCGGCGUGCCUAAUACAUGCAAGUAGAACGCUGAAGGAAGGAGCUUGCUCUUUCCGGAUGAGUUGCGAACGGGUGAGUAACGCGUAGGUAACCUGCCUGGUAGCGGGGGAUAACUAUUGGAAACGAUAGCUAAUACCGCAUAACAGUAGAUGUUGCAUGAUAUCUACUUAAAAGGUGCAAUUGCACCACUACCAGAUGGACCUGCGUUGUAUUAGCUAGUUGGUGAGGUAACGGCUCACCAGGGCGACGAUACAUAGCCGACCUGAGAGGGUGAUCGGCCACACUGGGACUGAGACACGGCCCAGACUCCUACGGGAGGCAGCAGUAGGGAAUCUUCGGCAAUGGACGGAAGUCUGACCGAGCAACGCCGCGUGAGUGAAGAAGGUUUUCGGAUCGUAAAGCUCUGUUGUAAGAGAAGAACGAGUGUGAGAGUGGAAAGUUCACACUGUGACGGUAGCUUACCAGAAAGGGACGGCUAACUACGUG
rnacentral:rRNA from 1 species